rnacentral:rRNA from 1 species
GAUGAACGCUAGCUACAGGCUUAACACAUGCAAGUCGAGGGGAAACGACAUCGAAAGCUUGCUUUUGAUGGGCGUCGACCGGCGCACGGGUGAGUAACGCGUAUCCAACCUGCCCAUCACUUGGGAAUAACCUUGCGAAAGUAAGACUAAUACCCAAUGAUAUCCCACGAAGGCAUCGGAAUGGGAUUAAAGAUUUAUCGGUGAUGGAUGGGGAUGCGUCGGAUUAGCUUGUUGGCGGGGUAACGGCCCACCAAGGCAACGAUCAGUAGGGGUUCUGAGAGGAAGGUCCCCCACAUUGGAACUGAGACACGGUCCAAACUCCUACGGGAGGCAGCAGUGAGGAAUAUUGGUCAAUGGGCGAGAGCCUGAACCAGCCAAGUAGCGUGCAGGAAGACGGCCCUAUGGGUUGUAAACUGCUUUUAUAAGGGAAUAAAGUGGGUCACGUGUGACUUUUUGCAUGUACCUUAUGAAUAAGGACCGGCUAAUUCCGUG